rnacentral:rRNA from 1 species
UUGCCAGUUGCUACCAGGUAAUGCUGGGCACUCUGGUGAGACUGCCCCGGUUAACGGGGAGGAAGGUGGGGACGACGUCAAGUCAUCAUGGCCCUUACGCCUAGGGCUACACACGUACUACAAUGGCGCAUACAAAGGGCAGCGAUACCGCGAGGUGGAGCCAAUCCCAAAAAGUGCGUCCCAGUCCGGAUUGCAGUCUGCAACUCGACUGCAUGAAGUUGGAAUCGCUAGUAAUUCGAGAUCAGCAUGCUCGGGUGAAUGCGUUCCCGGGCCUU